rnacentral:rRNA from 1 species
CGUAGGAGGCGAGCGUUGUCCGGAUUCAUUGGGCGUAAAGAGCACGCAGGCGGUUCGGCAAGUCGGUUGUGAAAUCCCAGGGCUCAACCCUGGGACUGCGUCCGAUACUGCCGGACUAGAGGUAGGUAGGGAGAUCGGAAUUCCUGGUGUAGCGGUGAAAUGCGCAGAUAUCAGGAGGAACACCGGUGGCGAAGGCGGAUCUCUGGGCCUUACCUGACGCUCAGGUGCGAAAGCUAGGGGAGCGAACAGGAUUAGAUACCCUGGUAGUCCUAGCCGUAAACGUUGGGUGCUAGGUGUGGGCGGUCAUCAACCCCGUCCGUGCCGAAGCUAACGCAUUAAGCACCCCGCCUGGGGAGUACGGCCGCAAGGCUA